AAUAAAUUAAAAGGCUUUUCCUCUAAAAUGUUCCUUUGCUUCCUCUUUGUCUCGGAAGCAGUUUUCCCCUCCUCGGAACACUGUGUAGUGCGGCCUAAUGCGUCUUCAGUGCAAACUCAGGACGCAGCUGGACUUUCUGAAAGAAAGGGGAAUGGUGGAGUUAUUCUGAGAAAUUCAAAUCCAGGAUAUUCAGUCCAGAUGAUGCCAGCGUCUGCUUCAAAGAUCUUGGUCCGGUCCAUGGAUGAAGUAGAAGGUUGUGGGCAUUUGGGAGCAGUGGGAAGAGACACAGGAUGUUCCCAAUUAUUUCAACUUUCCAAGCUGCACACUGUACAUAUUUAUCUUCAUUUUGAGGUCAUGAGGCAAAGCUGUUAGGAUAAUAUUGUGGAAGGGAGAGAGUGACUAGGCUAGAAAAAUGAAGAACGUCACCAGGACCCAGGAAAAAAUUGUAAUAAGCAAAGUUUUAUUUCAAGUCCCCAAACUUUCUCUACUGAACACUUUCUUGCCUUGAGAAUAUCUGGUCCUCCCUUUCAGGCCUCAUCAGAAUUUGUGUUCAUUCUUUGGACCCACCCCACCCCCCUUUCUGUUAUCAAACUGUGUAUUCUGGUUUGCUAGGGAAUUGUAGGGACACACAUAACACACAUACACAAAAGUCUGUUUUAUUAAUGAAAGCAAUAUUUUAUUCAAAACAUUGAAUGAAAGGGUUGAAAAUUGAGUCAUUUCCAACCCAUGUUGGAGAUUCAGCACACCCAGCUAAGCCUGCUCUGGAUGAUGCUUCUGUUACUGCUGAGGUUGUGAUUACCUUGGUCCCAGGGCAUCACACCCAGGAUAUGUGAGCUCCUGGCGAAAGGUGAUCAGGAGUUCUCCCAGUUAAGCGCCAAUGGGCAGAACGCCUCAGUUACUGCAGACCACUCCUCCCACCCUGCAAUUUCCUCCCCAAAGUUCCUUUCACACCCUCAUUUCAAAUCAUCUUAGAGUAAACCUGAUGCCCUGCUUCAGCAUCCAUCUCAAUUGCAGCCCCAGCACGUACGCCACACGUUCCAGCAACAGGACAGACACUUUUGCCGAGUAUCUAAGAACUGUAAGGUAAGUUGCAUGAUCAUUUGUUUUCUACAGCCCCGGUUGACCUCCCUUCACUGCUGAUGGCAACACCAGAAACCGGUGCUUACUUGUUUCUCUCCAUAUAUUUUCAGGAAAAAAAGUCUAACUUGGGUAAUUUGAAAUUAAAUAUAAGUUCAAUACAGUGUUACCUCUCUAAGACAUUUUUGCAUUUUUUAAAAGUAAAAGUUGUGUUUCUUUUUAAGAAGAUACAUGCAACCACAAGCAGGAGACUGAACUGUGUGUGUGUGUGUGUGUGUGUGUGUGUGUGUGUGCG
rnacentral:lncRNA from 1 species